AUGCACGUUUCAAGUUCUGUCACCCUGUAUAUACCCUCAUCUGGAGACAACCGCCAAUGGCCCCUUGUCCACCCCGCUGGGGAGAAGGGAGCUCCUCGGGCCAGGGUCUCACUAAGCGCCCGGCGGCCCCCGCUCCCGCACCCUCCACCUCGCACCCCCGGGGCAUCCCGUCUGCCAGCCUCGAGCCCAGCCCCUCUCCCGGGGCCAGAGGUGGCGGCCGCCGUGGCCUCUCCCCGCCCCACUGGUAGCGAAAAGCUGCCCGGCGCCCACGCCCGCACUUCCUGGUCGGAGCGGGCCCGGGGCGGGGCUCGCCGCCCCCACCCACCUCCCGGGUGCAAGCGGGCGCUCCGGCCCUCCUCGGCGGUUCCUGGGGCCGGGCGGCAGGUGCCCGGGCGGCGACCUCGCCGCGAGGCUGCUGGCACGCCCAGCGCCGGGGAGGCGGAGCCGAGCCGGGAGCCGCGGCGCUCGGUGGCCUCGGUAGGUGGCUGGGGGCCCGCCCGCCGCAUUCGGACCGCGAGGACUCGGCGGCGGAGGAACGUCGGGCGGGGAGGAAGCGCCUGGGGUAAGCGCGGUGUUGAUCAAGCCGCUGGGAAAACCCGCAAGAUCGGAGUUGCAAAGGACGCGUGAGUGAGUGUGUGCCUCUCCGAAUUGCUAACGGCUUCAGCUCAAAUCGUUUCAG
rnacentral:lncRNA from 1 species